rnacentral:rRNA from 1 species
UCAUACAAUGGCUGGUACAAAGGGUUGCCAACCCGCGAAGGGGGAGACUAAAUCCCAUAAAGCCAGUCGUAGUCCGGAUCGUAGUCUGCAACUCGACUACGUGAAGUCGGAAUCGCUAGUAAUCGUGGAUCAGAAUGUCACGGUGAAUACGUUCCCGGGUCUU